UACGGAGGGUGCAAGCGUUAUCCGGAUUCACUGGGUUUAAAGGGUGCGUAGGUGGGCAGGUAGGUCAGUGGUGAAAUCUCUGGGCUUAACCCGGAACUGCCGUUGAUACUAUCUGUCUUGAAUGUAGUGGAGGUGAGCGGAAUAUGUCAUGUAGCGGUGAAAUGCUUAGAUAUGACAUAGAACAUCGAUUGCGAAGGCAGCUCGCUACACUAUGAUUGACACUGAGGCACGAAAGCGUGGGGGAUCAAACAGG
rnacentral:rRNA from 1 species